AGUUACAGCCGGCAUCACCAUCAGUAGUUCGGGCGCACUCGGUAUUGUGCUGGACGGACUUCCAGUAAUUGAUGGAGACAUAGACGUUGAUUUUAGCGGCGGCGACGAAAAAUAGUAAAACUAGCCUACUUGAUGGAUUAAUGGUUCCUAACGACAUAAUCAACACAAAUACCGGUAUAUUCACAAUGAGUGCACUUAUAUUUUACUAAUAAAACAUAUUGGCGUGAACAAUGUGUA